rnacentral:sRNA from 1 species
AUAUGCUUGGGAAGUUGUUGCAUCUGCCCACUUGUAUGAACAACUUGGAGAUGCUAGCUUUGCUGAGACAAAACAAUUUGUUGGAUAUCGGACUCUUUUAUAGGGCACUAUCAAACGUGUUUUGACCAUAUUACAAAGGAUGAUUGAUUGUCGUGAGGUAAGUGAGGAUACUGUAGCCUAAGACCAAACUAACAAAGCAUUACAGAUAGCUCAUGAGGCGUCCAAAGAACAUGCCCUCAACAAUAGG